rnacentral:rRNA from 1 species
UUAAAUUGAAGAGUUUGAUCAUGGCUCAGAUUGAACGCUGGCGGCAGGCCUAACACAUGCAAGUCGAACGGUAACAGGAAACAGCUUGCUGUUUCGCUGACGAGUGGCGGACGGGUGAGUAAUGUCUGGGAAACUGCCUGAUGGAGGGGGAUAACUACUGGAAACGGUAGCUAAUACCGCAUAACGUCGCAAGACCAAAGAGGGGGACCUUCGGGCCUCUUGCCAUCGGAUGUGCCCAGAUGGGAUUAGCUAGUAGGUGGGGUAACGGCUCACCUAGGCGACGAUCCCUAGCUGGUCUGAGAGGAUGACCAGCCACACUGGAACUGAGACACGGUCCAGACUCCUACGGGAGGCAGCAGUGGGGAAUAUUGCACAAUGGGCGCAAGCCUGAUGCAGCCAUGCCGCGUGUAUGAAGAAGGCCUUCGGGUUGUAAAGUACUUUCAG